rnacentral:rRNA from 1 species
GGGCCUACACAUGCAAGUCGAGCGGUAGCACAGAGAGCUUGCUCUCGGGUGACGAGCGGCGGACGGGUGAGUAAUGUCUGGGAAACUGCCUGAUGGAGGGGGAUAACUACUGGAAACGGUAGCUAAUACCGCAUAACGUCGCAAGACCAAAGUGGGGGACCUUCGGGCCUCAUGCCAUCAGAUGUGCCCAGAUGGGAUUAGCUAGUAGGUGGGGUAACGGCUCACCUAGGCGACGAUCCCUAGCUGGUCUGAGAGGAUGACCAGCCACACUGGAACUGAGACACGGUCCAGACUCCUACGGGAGGCAGCAGUGGGGAAUAUUGCACAAUGGGCGCAAGCCUGAUGCAGCCAUGCCGCGUGUGUGAAGAAGGCCUUCGGGUUGUAAAGCACUUUCAGCGGGGAGGAAGGCGAUAAGGUUAAUAACCUUGGCGAUUGACGUUACCCGCAGAAGAAGCACCGGCUAACUCCGUGCCAGCAGCCGCGGUAAUACGGAGGGUGCAAGCGUUAAUCGGAAUUACUGGGCGUAAAGCGCACGCAGGCGGUCUGUCAAGUCGGAUGUGAAAUCCCCGGGCUCAACCUGGGAACUGCAUUCGAAACUGGCAGGCUAGAGUCUUGUAGAGGGGGGUAGAAUUCCAGGUGUAGCGGUGAAAUGCGUAGAGAUCUGGAGGAAUACCGGUGGCGAAGGCGGCCCCCUGGACAAAGACUGACGCUCAGGUGCGAAAGCGUGGGGAGCAAACAGGAUUAGAUACCCUGGUAGUCCACGCCGUAAACGAUGUCGAUUUGGAGGUUGUGCCCUUGAGGCGUGGCUUCCGGAGCUAACGCGUUAAAUCGACCGCCUGGGGAGUACGGCCGCAAGGUUAAAACUCAAAUGAAUUGACGGGGGCCCGCACAAGCGGUGGAGCAUGUGGUUUAAUUCGAUGCAACGCGAAGAACCUUACCUGGUCUUGACAUCCACAGAACUUUCCAGAGAUGGAUUGGUGCCUUCGGGAACUGUGAGACAGGUGCUGCAUGGCUGUCGUCAGCUCGUGUUGUGAAAUGUUGGGUUAAGUCCCGCAACGAGCGCAACCCUUAUCCUUUGUUGCCAGCGGUUAGGCCGGGAACUCAAAGGAGACUGCCAGUGAUAAACUGGAGGAAGGUGGGGAUGACGUCAAGUCAUCAUGGCCCUUACGACCAGGGCUACACACGUGCUACAAUGGCAUAUACAAAGAGAAGCGACCUCGCGAGAGCAAGCGGACCUCAUAAAGUAUGUCGUAGUCCGGAUUGGAGUCUGCAACUCGACUCCAUGAAGUCGGAAUCGCUAGUAAUCGUAGAUCAGAAUGCUACGGUGAAUACGUUCCCGGGCCUUGUACACACCGCCCGUCACACCAUGGGAGUGGGUUGCAAAAGAAGUAGGUAGCUUAACCUCGGAGGACGCUACCAC